rnacentral:misc_RNA from 1 species
AAGUCGUAACAAGGUAACCGUAGGUGAACCUGCGGUUGGAUCAUUAAUGUAAUUUGAAAUAGACUUUGGUCUAUUCUCAUCAAUGGAUGGAUAACUCUUUUUUUAGAGUUUGAAAUCCUUUACACCUAUUGUGAACUGUUAUUGUAUUUGUCAUUGGUAUGAAUGACUUUUUUGUCGUUUAUGCCUUUGACGUUUUAUUUUAAAACAUUGUUUAUUUUCUUUUGGUUUUUCUUUAUAAUGAAAUAUUAUAAUUGAAACAACUUUUGACAACGGAUCUCUUGGCUCUC